rnacentral:misc_RNA from 1 species
CGUACACGUUGUGCGUCAGCUUUUGGGUGACUUGUCUGUGUGCACGCGCCUUCCCCUCUGCCUCCCCCUUCUCUGUAUCUGCAGUGGCUGUCACUCAUGUCGGCAGAGUUCACAGAGCAAGACAAGGAGGACCUCAGGGAGAUCUUUCGCAUCUACGACUUUUCUAAGGUCAACAAGGUUGAUGACUCCGUCGCGCUGGCCCAAAAGGCCGGCCAGACACCCGCCGAGCUGUUCGACGACCUUUAUCAACUCUUUAAGAUCCAGAAACUGCCUCAGCGAGAGACGGUGGCCAGGCGAAUGCGCGAGGCCGUUCUCAACGCCACCGACGCGGAUAUCGAGAGCGUGAUUCGGCAAAGCGAGAUGAAAGGCUUCACUGAGCGCGACGCCCUGCGCUCGCUGGAGCGCAAGUACAGUGUACAGCACCUCAAUAGGCGUGUUCUGCUUGCCUCGCGUGGCAGUCACUCAAGCCCACAGUGCAAGGUCCUCGAGGAGGAUUCAGAGCUGGGGCACGCGGCCGGCUCGCUGCACCACAUCAAGGUGAACGAGACCAGCAUGACGAGCAGCACACCUCCGGCAACCAGUGGCGAUGUGACGGAAAAGGCGUCUGAUUCCUCUCUUAUGUUAGCCCGGCCACCCAGUAAGCUGAGUGGAGCGCCGACGCGUGAGGACCUGGACGAAAUCAUAGCCGAGGAGGUGCGUGAGUGGGUGGCGAAGAUGGUGGGAGACAAGUACAACGCGGAUGUGUGCUCCAUGCCCAACUUUGUUGAUGCCCUGCGCUCUGGUGUCCUGCUGCACGUGCUGCUGCAGAAGAUGGAAAGUCCUCCCAUUUCGGACGAGGACCUGAAGCUACCGAAGCGGACAACCGGCUUCUUUGUUCGCGACAACGUAGCCACAUUCCUGACGACAGCGAAGAGGCGCUACGACCUUGUCGACGCGCAACUCUUCACCGUCUCAGACCUGGUGGACGGCAAGAAUGACCGGCAGGUGGUGACUUGCUUGAUGUCAAUAGCGCGCAUCGCGUACAGCGCUGGCACCAUCAAGGACGCGCCAAACAUUAUCGUGUACGAGCACGAGAUUGAGCAACAGCAGAACCGCCUUACCAGGCUCGAUCUGGACCGCAUCGUGCAAGAGGCGGAGGCCGAUGAGGGCAUGCCCAGCCUCGUCGCCCGCCCCGAUGGCCCGGCGGAAUGGCCGUCGAGCAAGGUGGCCCCUGUGCCCGACACCACAUCGCCGACUGUGCGCUCGUGCGACGAGUGCCACGGCUUCGUCACGCCUCCUACACAGGAAUCACUAGGCGUGUGUGAGAGUGCGUUCACGCAACACGAGUUGGCCGCUCCUGAAGUUACAGUCGAGGGACUCGUGCGCUGCCCUGCCCCAGAUACAGCAGCGGUGUGUGACACGGAUAAGGUGGACGACACGCGUGGCGAAGACACAGCUGCGGCGGCAUCAGCGUCUCCGGCGGGUACGCAUCCGCCGAGCACCGGCGCCAUCGAGUGCGCGGCGGAACCAAACGUGCUGUCGGCACCGACAGAUGUCCGAGAGCACUCCUUGCCAGGAAGCGCGUCUGUGGGGCAAGCGUCACCGACGCGCACUCCGCUUGCCCCCGCCAAAAGCGACGAGGCGCUGGCGGCAGUGGCGCAAAACAUCGCCGUCGCACAACCGACCGAGACGACAGAGGAGACGACUGCGGCCCUGGGGACAGACGUGUCCGAUGCGGCGCCAUCGGGGCGACGCCGCAGUGGUGAGGAGGACAGCGAUGGCGGCGGCCGCGUCUUUUACCUGCGCGAUGGCAUGAUCCAUCCAGCGAAGCCGACGCCGAUCGAGGAAAAAGUGGUUGGUGAGCAUCGCAAGAAGACAGGCCCGCGCGUCGUCUGGAAGAGCACCAGCACACCCUUGGAGGCCACGCAACCGCCGCGCUACCAUAGCAGGCACUGGGACGGUAUCGAUGUCGCGCUGGGUCGUCAUUUGAAUGCGCAUUACGCGAAGCACCGCCAGUCUCCGUGGCGCUUUCGAACUGUCACGGCCACAUCCGGCGAGUACGUGCUGUACAACCGCCUCGAUGCCAGCAGGCGUGUUGUGUUCCUGCGUAUUAUUCAAAAGAGGCUGUUUCUGCGCAAUGCCGGCAAGCACCAGCGGUGGAUUGAGAUCGAUGAGGCCUUAGAGGGACUGGAGAAGUUGGAAGUGUAGUGGUCACGAAUGCGCGCUGUAUGUGAGAGGGAGAAUGGGACGCCAUCAAUGAGCCGGUCUUGCCGUUUAGCUGUAGGGCCAAGCAAGGAGAGAACGCUGUCUCCCCCCCCCCCCCCUGCCACCCACCCUUUUCCUCACCCUGUACUUCACGCGGUCUGAUGUUUUCCCCGCUGCUCUCCUUGUGAGCACCGGCCAGAAGACUCGUCCCUCACAGCUCCCCCCCCCCACCCUCCUCCGCUCUCCCUCUCUCUCCAUGCACUCACCGCGUCUUGUACAG